rnacentral:rRNA from 1 species
CGGUGAGUAAUAUAUCGGAACGUGCCCAGUCGUGGGGAUACGUAGCGAAAGUUACGCUAAUACCGCAUACGAUCUAAGGAUGAAAGCGGGGGACUCGCAAGAGCCUCGCGCGAUUGGAGCGGCCGAUAUCAGAUUAGGUAGUUGGUGGGGUAAAGGCUCACCAAGCCAACGAUCUGUAGCUGGUCUGAGAGGACGACCAGCCACACUGGAACUGAGACACGGUCCAGACUCCUACGGGAGGCAGCAUGGGGAAUUUUUGGACAAUGGACGCAAGUCUGAUCCAGCCAUUCCGCGUGCAGGAUGAAGGCCCUCGGGUUGUAAACUGCUUUUGUACGGAACGAAAAGGUUUCUAUUAAUACUAGGAGCUCAUGACGGUACCGUAAGAAUAAGCACCGGCUAACUACGUG